rnacentral:tRNA from 1 species
GCCUGGCUGGCUUAGUGGAUAGAGCAUGUGACUCUUGAUCUCAGGGUUGUGAGUUUGAACCCCACAUUGGGUA